rnacentral:rRNA from 1 species
GAUGAACGCUGGCGGCGUGCCUAAUACAUGCAAGUCGAGCGAACGGACGAGAAGCUUGCUUCUCUGAUGUUAGCGGCGGACGGGUGAGUAACACGUGGAUAACCUACCUAUAAGACUGGGAUAACUUCGGGAAACCGGAGCUAAUACCGGAUAAUAUUUUGAACCGCAUGGUUCAAAAGUGAAAGACGGUCUUGCUGUCACUUAUAGAUGGAUCCGCGCUGCAUUAGCUAGUUGGUAAGGUAACGGCUUACCAAGGCAACGAUGCAUAGCCGACCUGAGAGGGGGAUCGGCCACACUGGAACUGAGACCCGGUCCAGACCCCUACGGGAGGCAGCAGUAGGGAAUCUUCCGCAAUGGGCGAAAGCCUGACGGAGCAACGCCGCGUGAGUGAUGAAGGUCUUCGGAUCGUAAAACUCUGUUAUUAGGGAAGAACAUAUGUGUAAGUAACUGUGCACAUCUUGACGGUACCUAAUCAGAAAGCCACGGCUAACUACGU